rnacentral:rRNA from 1 species
UACGUAGGGGGCUAGCGUUGUCCGGAAUCAUUGGGCGUAAAGCGCGUGUAGGCGGUCCGGUAAGUCCGCUGUGAAAGUCGAGGGCUCAACCCUCGAAUGCCGGUGGAUACUGUCGGGCUAGAGUGCGGAAGAGGCGAGUGGAAUUCCUGGUGUAGCGGUGAAAUGCGCAGAUAUCAGGAGGAACACCGGUGGCGAAGGCGGGUCUCUAGGCAACUACUGACGCUGAGGAGCGAAAGCGUGGGGAGCGAACAGG